AUUGAACGCUGGCGGAAUGCUUUACACAUGCAAGUCGAACGGCAGCACGGACUUCGGUCUGGUGGCGAGUGGCGAACGGGUGAGUAAUACAUCGGAACGUGCCCAGUCGUGGGGGAUAACGUAGCGAAAGCUACGCUAAUACCGCAUACGAUCUAAGGAUGAAAGAGGGGGAUCGCAAGACCUCGCGCGAUUGGAGCGGCCGAUGGCAGAUUGGGUAGUUGGUAGGGUAAAGGCCGACCAAGCCGACGAUCUGUAGCUGGUCUGCGAGGAGGAUCAGCCCCACUGGGACUGGGACACGCCCCAGACUCCUACGGGAGGCGGCAGUGGGGAAUUUUGGACAAUGGGCGCAAGCCUGUUCCAGCCAUUCCGCGUGCAGGAUGAAGGCCUUCGGGUUGUAAACUGCUUUUGUACAGAACGAAAAGGCUCUGGUUAAUACCCGGGGCUCAUGACGGUACUGUAAGAAUAAGCACCGGCUAACUACGUGCCAGCCGCCGCGGUAA
rnacentral:rRNA from 1 species